AUGCAGACUCCUUUCUUCCUCACCAGGCUGAGCAGAUCGAAAAAAGAGCUACUACCCCGGCGAUGAACGAACCAGAGCAGCUUGGGCUAACGGGCGUCGGCGCAGGAAUCAAUUGUUUUCUCCAACCAGUGGAGAGGUUACCAAUCUUCGCCGAUGCGGUUGGGGAGAACACACCAGGCCUUGGAAGUACAUGGAGCCAUGGGAUGUCUUCUCAUGAAGUGGAAUCUGGUAGCUCGGCCAUGGCGGAUAUUCGCUGGACUGCGGAAGUGGAUUUCGGCAGGCGGCGUAAGGGCCAUAACUCUAACAACCACGGGCCAGCUGAUUCACAGGAGUCCACAGGCGGUCUUAAUCCAGAAGCUCCUGGAUGGAUAAAAAGCCUGAUGAACCGAGCUCACGCCUUUAGAAAAAGAUGAUCUAUCACAGGGUCCGAGCUGCUUCAAUGCCACUCGACAGGACACCUUGCGCAACAUGAGUUGGGGCGCUUGAGCAGUCGAUCCGAGGGUUCGCUGAAAGGAAAUCCCAAGUCGUGGUAUACCCUGAAACUGGGAUGACCUUUGAUUCUAUUGGCGAAGCCUAUGACUUCUACAAUCUCUAUUCUUGGGAAUAUGGUUUUGGGAUAAGGUACGGCAAAAGUCGGCUGAAUGUGGAGAGGACUAAAUGCAUGCAAGAAAUAGUAUGCGGAUGCUCGGGGAAGCCGAAGAGAACAAACACCCGGUCCUGCAGGUGCGAGUGUCCUGCCAUGAUUCGUUUGCUCCGGACAGAUGACAAUGGUUGGUAUAUUAGCGAGCACCGGUCUACGCACAACCACUCGUUGUCUAAGACUUGCGGUGAGCUAGUGCAUUGGUCAUCACACAAGCACAUUGACAUUUACACAAAAGAUCUGGUAAAGCAGUUGAGGGAGAACAAUAUCAACAUUAGCAAGGUGUACAGCAUCAUCGGCAGUUUUUUUGGCAAUAUGGAGAACGUACCAUUCACAAAGAGGUCCCUGAGAAGCUUGUGUGGACAGAUUAGCCGGAACCAGGCUGAUGAUGACGUGAAGAAAACCAUGGAGGUCUUUGCGGAGCUGGGAGCAAAGGAUCCUGAUUUCUGCUAUCGUGUACAGCCAGACAAGGAAAGCCGUAUCAAGAACCUUAUGUGGACCAAUGGUACAAGCAGGGAUCAGUACAAGUAUUUUGGUGAUGUGAUUACUUUCGACACCACGUACAGGACAAAUCUGU